ensembl:lncRNA
CUCUUCUGCACAAGGAGAAGGUGGCUGACUUAGCAGAGUCUGCAGAUAAAGAUGAAAGGCACAGCAGAACACACAGCAGCCAGAACACUGGGAAUCACGGCUGGACUGCCACAUCCAACCUCCCAGAACUGCAGGAAGGAGUCUGAGCCUGCCAAUCCUUCAGCCCCAGAGCUAAGAAGAGGAACUAUAGUGAGAUCCAGAUGCUUCCAGACUUGUGAGCCCAGAAUCAGCUUGACUGGCACUAGCCUGGGAUACAAACAUUGCCUGGUGCUGCGUGGCACAGCUUCCUUCCAUCUGCAUCUGAGAAACCACAGAAAAAAUAAUUCUCCCAGAGAUCAGAGCCUUCUCAGAAGAGCAUCAACAACAAGGAAGCAAAAAGAGGAGAUUAACUGGGAAUUUAACCACUAUUCCCAAAAAGGAAGAGACAGUAGUCUUGUUGCCCUGUGUGAAAGGUCCCAGGAGGAAAGGACUCUUCAGAUGGAGUGACGGAGUGCUGUGGGAAGAUCAGCGUGAAAUGCAGGAGCAGUGCUUGAAUCAAGGAUGAGAAAAAGCCUCUCCUGUAGGGAGUUGUCUCCAAAUACCCACACCUUGUGUUUUGACUUCUAGACACCAGUAGCUAUUGACAUUUUUAAAGGGAACUGAGGCAUCUACAAAGAGGAUACAGAUUCUCAUCUGGUCUAGGCACAUUCCUUUGAAGGAGAAAGAACUUGGGUUCACAUUGUGCAAUUCACCA